UGUCUCGUAAAACCAAAAAAAAAAAAAAAAAAAGGAAGAAAGAAAGAAAGAAAACCGGACCUGAAACCAUGGAAAGCUGCCCAAGCCAGUUCCAGAGAAACAUGCUAAACCAGUGUCCCUGACUCUGCAUCUCUCCAUAGCCCCCUCCCUGGCCCAGUUUCCAAAUUCCCUCAACCCAUUUCCACCUCUGUUACCUCACUCUCUGCCCCAUACUAACUCCAUUUAUCUGAUCCGAGAAGAGUGGGCCUGUCAGGAUAUCCUUACCACCUGCAUCUACUCACCACUCCUAAAUUCUACCCCUAUGUUUUACAUUUUAGUUAAAUUAGUUCCCCGCCUUAACUAUUAUUCUAAACAAGAUGUGCUUUUGGGGCUGGGAGCCAUAGGAGCAGGCACUAGGAUUUCAUUCCUUGUGCUCUCAAACAGCCAUUACUCAGAGCUCCAAAUCUCUGUAGAUAAUGACAUCCAUAGUUUACAAAAGGAAGGAAACAUCGAGAACAGGAACUAGGCUGGUUCCAAAAUUGGCUCUCAGCCUCACCCUUGCUCACCACCCUACCCCCUUCCAUUUUAGGAUGCCUUGCUGGCUUUUUAAUGUUGCUCACAUUUGGCCCUUGAGCCAGCAAGAGGUUAACUGACUUUAUCCGCCAACAGAUCGACUGCCUGACAGCAAAGCCUACCCAAACUCACUAUCACAGGCUUGACCUCGAGGAUCAUGGUCACAGUAAGCCUUUAGAAGGUGACAACCCACAAUCAAGGGGGCCACUUCCCAGGGAGACCUCCUUCUGCUAUUGACAAAAUUAAAAUAUCUCCCACCGAGGUGCACCCUGCGAGUGCAGUGAAGAAGCCGCCAAAGGUGCCUAUCCUGGGCUUCAUGGGGUAUACCUGGUUGCAUGAAGGUCGAUGUCAUAAAAACCCUUCCCUCCAUGAAAGGACAUCCUGAUGGGCCUAAGCAAGCUUGCCUGCAAAGGCUGGGUCAGCAUGCUCCAGGAUAUAUGUCACAUAACCAUCCAGGAGGACCAGGAUCCCUGCUUCCACUCAUGGUUCCCGUGGCUCAACCCCAGUUGUGCCCUGCUGGACAGGGCAGACAAUGGAUAUUUGCAGAUGGCCAGUGACUAGGAUUACAAAGAAUAAAGAAGGAUGAACACGCAAGAUAAACGUUGAAGGAGGAUGUCUAUCGGUUCAUUCAUUCAUUCGACAUGUGUUGAGCAUUUUCUGUGUGCAAGGACUCUGCUCUGCUAGAGACACAAGGAUUGAAGACUGAAGGAUCCCUUCCCCAAAGGCAGAGAAAGCGGAUGGCUGCAGUAGGAUGAUCAGAAGUAGGCAAGUCAAUUAGGGUCAUCGUUCAGAAAGUGAUACUGGGUGGUAUAGGAACAGAGUGGAGGAUAUAUCUUGACUUGUCUUGACUCCUCCAGGAAAAAAAAGGGAACUGGUCAGCUGAAGGAAGGAGAAUCAGCUGCUUUUGAUAGGUGAAGAAUGUGCCAAAGAUCCUGAGCUGUUCAAGCGGAGGCAGAUCCAAGUGACCAUUCCUGAGAUCUGCAUUCCUCCUCCCCAAGUCACUUACAGCCAAUAACCAUCGUACCUAAGAAGGACCUGCGAGCAGAGUUUUAAGUCAAACUCUUCAACCCCAACUCCUAUGUCAUUAGCGUCUAUGUAGAAACCCCUGAGAGGCCACUCAAAAUGGCCUUUACACACCAGAAGCUUGAUAGGCAGGCAGAGGGAGUGGUGAAGUAUCAAACAUUUCGAGUGCCUCCCAUCCUUACUGGACUCAAUAGCUCCAAUGAGUUUCUUUUCUCCUCAAUUAAGUGUUAGUACAGAGCUAAAACUGACUUCCCAGAUGAGGUUUAUGUCAUCAGAGGAAACAAAUGUGUUCUCUAGGUUCUCCUUGACCAUAUCCACCCUGAGAAUUUGAGUUUGAUAAUGUCAAGAGUCUUGCCACUGCAGUCACUACUAUAUUUCUACCCAUUCACAGCAGUGUCUGCCUCUAAGAGACACACAGUGACUAUUUUGUGGAUGGAUGAAUUCACGGAUAAAUGAGCAACUGUGAAUGUUAGUAAGUAAACACUGUUUUAUUUAUAAUUACAGAAGGAAAGAAUGUUUUACUCAAUCUCGCCCACUGAAAAUAUACUUAAGUUCGAACAGCCGUUCAAUUACAUCGAGUAAUUGCCCAUUGCUGGAUUAGUGAUGCAAUCCAAUUCCUUGAAAAAUAAGCUUGUGUUAUCAAGUCAGAAUUUCAUUGGUCAUUAAGUGGUGACCCAGCAGCUUUCUCUCUGACAACAGUGAAGGUCAUCUCUGAAGUCAGCAAGCAUGACUCAUCUUUUCAUUUCUAAGGACCGUUCCUUGCAGCUCCAGUAUGACAUCUGCUUAAAAGAUGAAGCCAGCCCUAUCCCAAAUAAAGGCAUCCGGACAGCCCUUCAGGGAUGAAUGUUUUAUUGGAAUACAGGCACUUGACAGAGUAAAUACAUGGUUACAAAGUGUUUUUAGUUUACUUGCUUUAUAUAAUGAAUGCAAAAAAAUAAAACAGUGUAGAAUUCUUUUUCACUAAGUCUCAGACUUGAGAAAGCAAAUCCAUAGUUGUGUGUGGCUAUGGUACAGAUGGCGCAUGGCCUGCAUUCUCACAUAGUGGAACUAUUUUAUGGUUUAAGAUUUUGAGUCAAUAAUGUACUGAAGACUAUGUAGCUCACAUAGCUCCCCCAACACACUUUUGGGUUAAAGUAGGACCUCCAGCCUGCUAGGACCUCCAGUCCUCUAGCUGAAACCAUACCCCCAGGCCACAUUUUACAAACAAGUUAAAGUCACUUUUGUCUCAGAGAACUGUAAAAUUCUUUGAAGUCACUGACUUUAAUCUGAAGAAUUACAAUGGCAAACAUGAGGAUCUGUAUAAUAAUAAUAAAACCUACAGAUUUUAUAGGCCAAACAUAAUGAUGUGCCCUUCUUUGCACUCAACCUCUUUGAAAACGACAACUGGAAUAUGACUUGGUAAUCUCCAAGGGGUGUGUGUGUGUGGUUCCUGCAUGAUUCCAUACACUGGGCCAAGUUACACAGGACAAAAUAACAAGUCAUUUUUUUCCCAAGGAAAAUCUCUUUCUUUGUGAAAGGUCAGUAAGUAGCAUAACUGGUUUUAAAGUCCUGGAGUUUGGGCCAAGAACCAGGAGUCUUUAACAGCUUUGCCGAAGACAGAAGUUGCCCAUUCAGAUCCCCAGCACCUUGCUUCACCAUGGACACAACAGGACACAGGUAAAUUUAUGAGAAGCUAGACAAGCUUUUGACACGUCACCACACACACACCCCAUGCACAGUGGCCUCCUCAUCCAUCAUCCAGUGUAACAGCUGCCUUGCCUAGUUUGGAGAACUCGGCUGUGUGAAACACGCAUGGAAGGGUUCUUGGAGUUUUCUAAAAUGUCUUGCUACUUAGUGCCUAUUCCUCUCUGGCCUUCCUGAUCGGCACUGGUUCUCAUCUGCUAAUUCGUGGAGUUCUUGCCAUUUGCUCUAGUUGCUUCACUGGCGAUAGGUCUUAGUCUUCUGCUAGAGCACACUUGAUAUUUGCUAUCUUUGUAUGUAGUUACGUAUCAAGUUUAAAUCUUUUCAUUCCACUAGAAGGGGAACUGUAGUGAGAGAUCCACCCAGCCGCAUCUGUGGCGCUGACCACAGGUGCGUACAUGAGCAGGUAUUUGGUCUGGGGUCCCGGACAAGCUCCCUCUCUCUUGGUUCCGGCCAGGUCACGGAAAGCAGCCUGGGUGUGGAUCCUUGGAACUGGAACUUGCGGGUCAUCGGUUCCUUUUAUUUUUCCACAUUGCUACAUGGGUGAGCAGUGAUUUCCUCUUUAGUGAUAAACAUCAUUCACUUUAUAGUUUGGUUGCCAGAGAGUCUCCUGCCUGAGCGGCACCAAGAUGAGUCUGGAACUCUGGGACUUCAGUCUUUUGCUCUAAAACGCUGUUUUCUGCAGAGCCGGAGAUAGCAGAAACGAGUGGGCCAGGCGUAACUACAGUUCCAGCUCCAAGCUCGUGGUUCGCUAGCCUGCUGAGCUCGACUCUACUGCUAAGAAGGACACAGAAGAACCAACCAGGCAUCAGGAAGACUCAGAGGCACACCCAAGCAGGGGCUCCAGUCUCUAAGUCCUCGGUAGCCUCCAAGUCCCCAUUUCCUGAACUCAAGAACCAGCCAGGCAGGCUCUUUGGCAGCCAGGCAGAACUGUUGCUGAGCCCAUGAACUCACAUAAGAUGCUUUAAGGGGUGGAAACUUGUUCCAUUUUCUAUGCUUAGCUUAAAAUGGUUUUAAACUUGAACACUGGAAGCUUAAGAUAAAUAGGAGAAUGGGUGAAGACAGGGAAAAAAUGCUGAUAAUGAAAGCUCUCAAGAGAAGGCAAGUGAGUGUGAAUACCAUAAGAGACCCUGUCUGACAGGAAUUUUCCAAGGGCCCGUUCCAUUGUAAUUUAAAGGGAAAAAGUAUUCACUUUAAGAAGUGAACAAUAAAUUAUAGUUUUCCUUAGUUAUGAUAAAAGGUAAGCUACAUAUAAUACUUUAGACUCACAGAGAUGGGAUAGA